rnacentral:tRNA from 1 species
GUGUUGGUGGCUCAGGGGUUAAGCGCUUGACUUGCAAUCUACAGGACUUGGGUUCGAAUCCCGCCAUGUACC